GACGAACGCUGGCGGCGUGCUUAACACAUGCAAGUCGAACGCUGAAGCUUGGUGCUUGCACUGGGUGGAUGAGUGGCGAACGGGUGAGUAAUACGUGAGUAACCUGCCCUUGACUCUGGGAUAAGCCUGGGAAACUGGGUCUAAUACGGGAUAUGACAUGCCACUGCAUGGUGGUGUGUGGAAAGGGUUUUACUGGUUUUGGAUGGGCUCACGGCCUAUCAGCUUGUUGGUGGGGUAAUGGCCUGCCAAGGCGACGACGGGUAGCCGGCCUGAGAGGGUGACCGGCCACACUGGGACUGAGACACGGCCCAGACUCCUACGGGAGGCAGCAGUGGGGAAUAUUGCACAAUGGGCGGAAGCCUGAUGCAGCGACGCCGCGUGAGGGAUGACGGCCUUCGGGUUGUAAACCUCUUUCAGCACGGAAGAAGCGAGAGUGACGGUACGUGCAGAAGAAGCGCCGGCUAACUACGUG
rnacentral:rRNA from 1 species